CCCUUCUUGGCUUGUGAUUCAUCUGUUCUAAUAGAGUUCUAAUGGAACAAGAGGAAUGAUUAGAAUUUUCGAGUUGGAAGGAGAAGAAGGUAAAGUUGGUGUAGAG